UAUAGGACCCAGCCAUAACAAUUAGACAAGUGAAGUACAACAUGAUUCUAGGCACCACACAUAUAUUUCUGAAUUAAGAUAAACCAAGAUAGAAUUAGCAUUCCUAGCUUUCAAUCUUCUUCACCACAGAAACAGCACAAGAUCCUCCAGAGUACGCCUCCCCUCUUAGGACCGGAACGCAUGUUGCUCGAAUUCUUGUCGUUGUAUCCUCCUGCCAUGUUUAACUCACCAAACUUAAAACAACAGCGAGAACAACAGAUUUGGGAAGCUAAAGCUAAUGCUUGUAUUUGAUCUGGGAGUGUAUUGGGGGUGGCUUCACCUGAAAGAUUCGUGUGUUUUAUAAGAGUAUUGUAAGAUCACUAGCAGAUUUUCUCUUCAGUUUUCUUGGUAAGUUCAGGUAACUUUCCACAUAUAGUGUUAUAUUGCUUAAUUAAUUUAAAUAUGAAACCAUAUACUACACGGUUAGCAUCCAUAUUUGCGUAUCAAUCACUAAUAUUGAACAUAUAUAUGUUUUACUACAUUAUUCGAACUAGCUAGUGUUAAGUUCGUACAAUACAACAAGCUAAACUUUACUGGGAAAUUUCCCUACAUAAUAUAAUGUAGGUUGUAAUUUAGUCUCCAAAUUAAACCGAGUAAACUUUUUAAACUUAUUGAAUUUUAAAAAUUUGCUGAUAAAAAUAAUUAAUAUGGAUACAAUGCAAAUUUAACAGCAAGCUGACUUCUGCUGUGGUGUACUAGUGUAGCAUUUCCAGUGUCUUUCCACUGAUCAAGAGGGGAAGAGGGUGGGACUUGUUGGACCUCUAAAUAAGUGAUGAUGAGAGGUUUUCGAGAAGGAGCGCGAAACAAAAUUCGUAUGAAUUGGUCAAGAAUAAAACGACCAAUUCAACAACAAUAUUAAUAUGGUGAUAACUAUUUACUCUUCCAAAGGAAGAAAGAGCUGGUCAAAAUUUUCUUAUGAUAUACUCCCUCUGUUUCAAAAUAUAAGUCAUUUACGCUUUACGAAAAUUUGCUUUGACCACAAAUAUCUCUCAAAUACGAUAAGUAAAAAUUACAAAAAUUAUACCGUUGGAUUCGUCUUGAAAAAUACUAUAAUAAUAUUAUUUUUUAAAAUUUUAUAUCAACAUAAAUUGAGAGUAAUUAACGGUCAAAGUUCGACCUCGAACAUCGUGCGUGCCUUAUAUUGUGAAACGGAGGGAGUACUGCGUAGUUCUAUAUAUUAAAAUUUUCCAACUAUAACACAGCUGACUUAAUUUUUGUCAUUUAAGAAAAUAAUCUAGUCUUCUUUUAUUCAAGAGUCUUUUCCGAACAUUAAACUUGUUUCGGUUAUGAAACGGUUAGCGGCUUCAAGGGAAAUCCGCCAAAGAUAUGGAGAGUAGAGUCCUUAGUGAAUAGUUGCACAGCAAGCAAACGUGAGCAACCCUCGGGGUGGUUGCGAGGAAACCCCUUCCCGAUGCUCAAGUCAGUAUUUGUCCAACUAGGAUUUAGAGAGAGAGAGAAGCUAUUUUCAGUAUGAGAGAGAAUGUACCUACAUAAUAGUACUAUUGAGGUAUUAAUAGAAGUAUUAUUCCUGUGACAAGGCUUGUAAUCCUUUGAUACGUGUAUGACUGUGACGAACCACGUCGGUGAACUGACUUACUAGAGCUGUGGAUGACAUUGCCAUGCUCGCGUCCGUGAUAAUGUUUGCGGACCCUCCAUAGGGAUCCGCUAAUAUACUUGAGCUAUACCCAUACAACUAGCCCACCAACAUCAUUUGGGGUCUUGACCACUAAGGAUGUUGUUGGUGGACGCGAACCAUUUUUGUCGUGUUUGAUUUUUCGAAGAGAUUAAUUUGUUGGAUGCCACGUGUCGCUUUAGGGAGUUGAAGCAUUUUGAAAAGCUAAUGAUUACUUUUCCGAAAAUCCCCCAAUACUUUAUUAGGUUUUAACUUCGUCAUGACACUUGGCAGAAAUCUGGAGAGAAGUUUGAGAGUUCUUUUGAUCUCAGCCGUCUAUCCGUGCAUAUAUACCAGAGCAGUUCGUUGUCCUUUUCUGAGUUAUUUAUUUUACACUCAAAACUAUCUUGCUUCUUCUUCUUUUUCCUAUGACAAAACCCCGUAACCAAAGCUUGCAUUGUUCAAGAAUAGUCUUUCUUGUGCUCAAAUCACUAAAAGUUGCUCAAUCUUCCAGUUUUUACUUUACGGUUCUAAUGCACUGAAAGUUUCAUCUUUUCUUGACAGACAUUCUCUGGGCUUUUUCUGUGUUUGGGGUUUCGUGCUUUUCCGGUGGUUCUUUAGCUACAAGCUCAAGUUUUUCGGUGCAAUUCAGCUGUUUGGGGACUUUGUUCACCUUCUUCGACGAUUUUAUUCCUUACUUUCUCUUUUUCCCGGCGACCCUUCGUUUCCAGCUAAUUCUUCAUUUUUUUUCCUCAUUUCCUUAAGUUUCUUUUGCCUUUUUAUCAUGUCGUACCAAUCUGAUAGCCAGAAUGCUCUUAGUGAGGUAUUUAUGACUGAGAGUGACCCUUCUUCCCCUUUGGCCGAUAACGAUUCUACUUCCCCUUUGGCGGACCCUGGACUUUCUUCUGGUUCAAGCCCUGUGGGCCGGGAAGGACUAGGUUGUUAGCGGACAUACCUCUUACGGCUGAGAGAGAGAAAGAGAGAGAGAGAAUUGAUAUCUAAAUUUCUUAACGACCCAGCUACCCUUGGAGAGCAAAAUUUGACCAUGAGCUAUUUUUCCGCUAGCUAGAGCGGUGAAAAAAUAGACGCUUAGGGAGCUUAGGCACCAAAUCCUUGUUAGACAUUCUCUUAGGCAUCCACCAACCAAUGUCGUUCCCGGUUUGGACGUAGCCCCUCUUAGAGAACAUGCCUGGUUGGAUAGCCUGGCGGAUGCCGGGGUUAAGGUGUCAGCCGAUUUUUACGACCGCUAACAGGUAUUUGCAACCCUAACCCUCCUAUUGUUGAUUUAUGUAACGAUAGUGAUUCAAUUGCUACCGUCGUGGCUCGUGAAGGAACGGUUUAUCAUCGUCGUGCCGGUGCAAGUACUGGCGUAUCCGUUCCUCUGGCAUCCCCUGCAGCUGUGGUAGGCUCAAGCCAGCCGGCAGAAUUCGUGGCCGGACAAGAUUUUGAUGCUUUAUGGCUUCCUGAGGAUGCCUCUGCCGGCCCUCUCAUCGUGGAGGUUGACGGGCCCUGGCGUCAGGAUGUUCCUGAUCUCGUUUAUCCGAGAGUUGCUCGGGAUUUAUACCAUAUGCCUACAGGGUAUCGCUUGAUAGUGCCACCAGAAGGAGCCAUUGUGACGGAGUGUCCUCCCGGUCAUGUGGUUGUAUAUACACACCACUUUGAACUUGGCCUCCGCUUCCCCUUGGAUUCUUUCUUGGUCGAGAUUUUAAAUGCGUUCAACGUGUGUUGGGCGCAGCUGACGCCCUUAGCAUCGCGUACAUGUGGGUUGUACGCUUUUUAGAUUUCCCUUAAAUAGUGAACUUAUUCCGCCAAAUCCAUUGGUUGAAGAGAAAUGGAUCUUAUAGGCAAUCAGGCUGGUGGUCGUUAAUGACGGCUGACAAGAAGAUGACAGUUCAGCCUAAGGUGUCGAGCUUGAAGGGUUGGCAGGAUGCCUUGUUCUGGUUGCGAGUGCCCGACGAUUACCCUGUGCGCCGCCAUUUCACAAAGCCUCGUCCUCAUAUGGAGCAUAUUCCUUUAGUGUCGCUAACUGAGGAAGAGUUAGCGGCCUUUGACUAUUUUGACGUGGAGGACUACGAGGUCACUUAUGAGGACGGGACGACGGCUAGGGUUAAGGAGCUCAAGCAUUCGAUUCCUCAUUCCAAGUAUAUUCUAGGGAAUAAGCCUUUGUUGGCUGUUCUACUGUCGCCCACCCAUGAGAAUGGUAAGUAUUACUGUCGGACUGGUCUGUCUGAUGAUAAUAAUAAGAAUUAGCGGCUGUUUGUUAUUAUAUUUUCUGUUUUCUAAUCCUUUCUUGCUUGUUUGCAGGCGUUGACAAUCUCGACCUCGACGUGCUUUGCGUCGACGAAGAUUUUUGGCCGUUAACAAAUUUGUCGCCUGCUCCCGCCAACGACUACGAGACAAUGCACGGUGUUACCAACGACCGUCGGGGGGGAAAUCGUCAUGGCUCCCAGAACAUUCGCAGAGGUCACGGAGAGGCGACCACUUCUCGCGUCCCCGUUGUUGGCGCUACUGCUGCUGCUAGCACAAGCGUGCCGUCAUCCCCUGUCAUUCCUCUCCGAUCCUCUACUUCCUUUCGAACCUAUCUCCUGGUAUCUUUUAUCGGUACCGGAAGUGGAUUGAGAAGAAGGAAGUGCCAUUAAGCGACUCUAUGGCGGUCGCGUUUGCUCCCCAGACUAUCAGUCCGGGCAAGAUUUAUCAACUUGACUGGAACGUCAGGGAGGAUGAAUCUCUAUAUGCUGAUAUACCUAAAAACGGUGGUAUUCGUGCCACCGUAUUCUGAAGGGCAUGCAACUGCCUCUGGAUAGGCCGUCGGGAUCCUUGAUAACUCCUGCUGCCCAGCUAGCGCAUGAUCAGCUUGUGGCUAACAAUGCUGCUGGUGAGCUGAUUGAGCAUUAUAUUGAGUACCAGAAGCUGGAGGACACCUAUAAGGCCUCAUUGGCGACCUGCCAUGGCCUACCCGCGGAUGCUGAGGGCAAGCUGGCGGCCAAGGAGGCAGCUUCGUAGCCUCUGGAGGACGAGUUAGAGACACUGCGAUCAAGGGCUGCCUUGUUGGAGGAGACCGAGGAAAACGUCAAGGCGUUGACCAAGGCUGUGGAUGCUGAGAAAGAGAUUGUUGUGUUGGACGCCUCUGCUAGCUGAAGCUGAAGCUAGGGGGGUCGCCAAGGCUAUUGUUGAAUUCAAGCAGUCCAAUGAUUAUGUGGCGGCUCUCCACAAGAGGUAUGAUGACGGUUUGGCGGCUGCCAUGAGAUGUGUAUGUAAAGCUAUUCCAGGGUUUGACUGGAAUGUGAUUGAAGAUGCACAUGCUGCUGGCCAGCAUCUUACGCAUUUCGAGGGGGACCCUAACUUUGCUGACGAAGACGCCAUCGCUGAUGUGGAUCCUCGAGAGCCUCCGACACAAGGACCUCCUCCCUCUUGAAGCUUUUGACGGCCUUCUCUCAGCUCUUCUUGCUCCUCCAAUAGUUUUUAGCUUUAUGUACUUUUUAAUACUUUGUAGCUAAACUGUAUUCGGCCCAUGCUGGCGUUUUGUAAACAAUGACUUGAUUUUGAUUUUUUGAGUACUUAUUCCAACAAAGCCUUUUUGUUUUUAUUGGCUGCCAACAUUUUUCUGUAGUCGACCGCCAAGCCAGUAGCUUUUGUUUUAUGGAAGAGUACUUUCGUGUUUCUUGCU